rnacentral:rRNA from 1 species
UACGAAGGGGCUAGCGUUGCUCGGAAUCACUGGGCGUAAAGGGUGCGUAGGCGGGUCUUUAAGUCAGAGGUGGAAAUCCUGGAGCUCAACUCCAGAACUGCCUUUGAUACUGAAGAUCUUGAGUUCGGGAGAGGUGAGUGGAACUGCGAGUGUAGAGGUGAAAUUCGUAGAUAUUCGCAAGAACACCAAGUGGCGAAGGCGGCUCACUGGCCCGAUACUGACGCUGAGGCACGAAAGCG